rnacentral:rRNA from 1 species
AAAACGACUCUCGGCAACGGAUAUCUCGGCUCUCGCAUCGAUGAAGAACGUAGCGAACUGCGAUACUUGGUGUGAAUUGCAGAAUCCCGUGAACCAUCGAGUCUUUGAACGCAAGUUGCGCCCGAAGCCUUCCGGCCGAGGGCACGUCUGCCUGGGCGUCACGC